rnacentral:rRNA from 1 species
UACGUAGGUGGCUAGCGUUGUCCGGAUUUACUGGGCGUAAAGAGCGCGCAGGCGGUCGUUCAAGUCGCGUGUGAAAGCCCCCGGCUCAACUGGGGAGGGUCACGCGAUACUGAUCGACUCGAAGGCAGGAGAGGGUAGUGGAAUUCCCGGUGUAGUGGUGAAAUGCGUAGAUAUCGGGAGGAACACCUGUGGCGAAGGCGGCUUUCUGGGCCUUACCUGACGCUGAGACGCGAAAGCGUGGGGAGCGAACCGG